rnacentral:lncRNA from 1 species
GAGGAGAACAGUGCAGCCCCUGUGGUCAUCUCCACAUCCACAUGGAGCUGCCAGCCAGCUCUAGCCGUGACUUCCAGUUGCUCUGCCACUGAGCAGUUCUCAUCUGAAGAUCUCAGACAUGAAGUAAUCCUCCGAGCAUUUCUAGAGAAAUGUGGACUGCCAUUAAACCUGUUUUACAGACACAGAGCUUUUUCAUUAGUCCUCGUCCCUGUUGAUCUUGUUCAGCCACCUGAGCCCUCAAGCACCAAAUCCCUUCUGCUCCUCAGCCUGCGCUGGGACGGCCGCCUCGCUGGUAGGGAGCGUUCCGGAAAAUGCAGCCCUGCUUCUCCUGUACCCGGGACUUGGCUUUGCACCGUGCCAUGCAGCAGGAAGGCUUCCAAGCUUAUCGGCAGGGUUGCCAAGGGCUGGACAUGUUGUAAAGCAAGUAUCUCGAAGGAGAAAGAAGUGUCCCAUGCCAAACAGCUGUAG